GUAGGGAAUAUUGGUCAAUGGACGAAAGUCUGAACCAGCCAUUCCGCGUGCAGGAAGAAGAUUCUAUGGAUUGUAAACUGCUUUUAGCAGAGAAGAAACGCCUUCAUUGAUGAGGGUUUGACGGUAUCUGCGGAAUAAGCACCGGCUAACUCCGUGCCAGCAGCCGCGGUAAUACGGGGGGUGCAAGCGUUAUCCGGAAUCACGGGGUUUAAAGGGUGCGUAGGCGGGAAAUUAAGUCCGUGGUGAAAGUCUGUUGCUUAACGAUAGAAUUGCCGUUGAUACUGAUUUUCUUGAAUUGGGUUGAGGUUAGCGGAAUGUGACAUGUAGCGGUGAAAUGCAUAGAUAUGUCAGGGAACACCAAUUGCGAAGGCAGCUAGCUGGGCCUUGAUUGACGCUGAGGCACGAAAGCGUGGGUAGCGAACAGGAUUAGAAACCCGGGUAGUCC
rnacentral:rRNA from 1 species